UACGUAGGGGGCGAGCGUUGUCCGGAUUUAUUGGGCGUAAAGAGCGUGUAGGCGGCCAGGUAGGUCUGCUGUGAAAACUCGAGGCUCAACCUCGAGACGUCGGCGGAAACCAUCUGGCUAGAGUCCGGAAGAGGAGAGUGGAAUUCCUGGUGUAGCGGUGAAAUGCGCAGAUAUCAGGAGGAAUACCGAUGGCGAAGGCAGGUCUCUGGGCUGACACUGACGCUCAUGCACGAAAGCGUGGGGAGCAAACAGG
rnacentral:rRNA from 1 species